rnacentral:rRNA from 1 species
AUUGAACGCUGGCGGCAUGCCUUACACAUGCAAGUCGAACGGCAGCACGGGAGCAAUCCUGGUGGCGAGUGGCGAACGGGUGAGUAAUAUAUCGGAACGUGCCCAGUCGUGGGGGAUAACGCAGCGAAAGCUGUGCUAAUACCGCAUACGAUCUAAGGAUGAAAGCGGGGGAUCGCAAGACCUCGCGCGAUUGGAGCGGCCGAUAUCAGAUUAGCUAGUUGGUGGGGUAAAGGCCCACCAAGGCGACGAUCUGUAGCUGGUCUGAGAGGACGACCAGCCAGACUGGAACUGAGACACGGUCCAGACUCCUACGGGGAGAAGCAGUGGGGAAUUUUGGACAAUGGGCGCAAGCCUGAUCCAGCAAUGCCGCGUGCAGGAUGAAGGCCUUCGGGUUGUAAACUGCUUUUGUACGGAACGAAACGGCCCUUUCUAAUACAGGGGGCUAAUGACGGUACCGUAAGAAUAAGCACCGGCUAACUACGUGCCAGCAGCCGCAGUAA